rnacentral:rRNA from 1 species
AACGCUAGCUACAGGCUUAACACAUGCAAGUCGAGGGCAGCAUGUCUUAGCUUGCUAAGGCCGAUGGCGACCGGCGCACGGGUGAGUAACACGUAUCCAACCUGGCCUUGACUCGGGGAUAGCCUUUCGAAAGAAAGAUUAAUACCCGAUGGCAUGGUUUUCCCGCAUGGGGAAUCCAUUAAAGAUUAAUCGGUGAAGGAUGGGGAUGCGUCCCAUUAGCUUGUUGGCGGGGUAACGGCCCACCAAGGCUACGAUGGAUAGGGGUUCUGAGAGGAAGGUCCCCCACAUUGGAACUGAGACACGGUCCAAACUCCUACGGGAGGCAGCAGUGAGGAAUAUUGGUCAAUGGCCGAGAGGCUGAACCAGCCAAGUAGCGUGAAGGAUGACGGCCCUACGGGUUGUAAACUUCUUUUAUAAGGGAAUAAAGUGCAUCACGCGUGGUGUUUUGUAUGUACCUUAUGAAUAAGCAUCGGCUAACUCCGUGCCAGCAGCCGCGGUAAUACGGAGGAUGCGAGCGUUAUCCGGAUUUAUUGGGUUUAAAGGGAGCGCAGGCGGACGCUUAAGUCAGUUGUGAAAUCCCGCGGCUCAACCGUGGAAUUGCAGUUGAUACUGGGUGUCUUGAGUGCGGCAGAGGCAUGCGGAAUUCGUGGUGUAGCGGUGAAAUGCUUAGAUAUCACGAAGAACUCCGAUUG